rnacentral:rRNA from 1 species
GAUGAACGCUGGCGGCGUGCUUAACACAUGCAAGUCGAACGAUGAAGCCCAGCUUGCUGGGUGGAUUAGUGGCGAACGGGUGAGUAACACGUGAGUAACCUGCCCUUAACUCUGGGAUAAGCCUGGGAAACUGGGGCUAAUACCGGAUAGGAGCGCCCACCGCCUGGUGGGGGGUGGGAAGAUUUAUCGGUUUUGGAUGGACUCGCGGCCUAUCAGCUUGUUGGUGAGGGAAUGGCUCACCAAGGCGACGACGGGUAGCCGGCCUGAGAGGGUGACCGGCCACACUGGGACUGAGACACGGCCCAGACUCCUACGGGAGGCAGCAGUGGGGAAUAUUGCACAAUGGGCGCAAGCCUGAUGCGGCGACGCCGCGUGAGGGAUGACGGCCUUCGGGUUGUAAACCUCUUUCAGUAGGGAAGAAGCGAAAGUGACGGUACCUGCAGAAGAAGCACCGGCUAACUACGUG